GCAUAUCAAUAAGCGGAGGAAAAGAAACCAACAGGGAUUGCCCCCAGUAACGGCGAGUGAAGCGGCAACAGCUCAAAUUUGAAAUCUGGCUUCGGCCCGAGUUUGUAAUUUGUAGAGGAUGCUUUUGGUGAGGUGCCUUCUGAGUUCCCUGGAACGGGACGCCAGAGAGGGUGAGAGCCCCGUAUAGUCGGCCACCGAUCCUCUGUAAAGCUCCUUCGACGAGUCGAGUAGUUUGGGAAUGCUGCUCAAAAUGGGAGGUAUAUCUCUUCUAAAGCUAAAUAUUGGCCAGAGACCGAUAGCGCACAAGUAGAGUGAUCGAAAGAUGAAAAGCACUUUGAAAAGAGGGUUAAAUAGCACGUGAAAUUGUUGAAAGGGAAGCGCUUGUGACCAGACUUGUGCCGGGCUGAUCAUCCAGUGUUCUCACUGGUGCACUCGACCCGGCUCAGGCCAGCGUCGGUUCUCGCGGGGGGAUAAAAGCUUCGGGAACGUGGCACCUCCGGGUGUGUUAUAGCCCGCUGCUUAAUACCUUCGCGGGGACCGAGGUUCGCGCUCUGCAAGGACGCUGGCAUAAUGGUCAUCAGCGACCCGUCUUGAAACACGGACCAAGGAGUCGAGGUUUUGCGCGAGUGUUUGGGUGUAAAACCCGCACGCGUAAUGAAAGUGAACGUAGGUGAGAGCUUCGGCGCAUCAUCGACCGAUCCUGAUGUAUUCGGAUGGAUUUGAGUAAGAGCGUAUAGCCUCGGACCCGAAAGAUGGUGAACUAUGCCUGAAUAGGGUGAAGCCAGAGGAAACUCUGGUGGAGGCUCGCAGCGGUUCUGACGUGCAAAUCGAUCGUCAAAUUUGGGCAUGGGGGCGAAAGACUAAUCGAACCAUCUAGUAGCUGGUUACCGCCGAG
rnacentral:rRNA from 1 species